rfam:Polaribacter sp. SA4-10 genome.
AAUGCAGAAGCCGAAAAGCAAUUAGAGUAGGCA